UAGUGGCGAACGGGUGAGUAACACGUGGGCAAUCUGCCCUUCACUCUGGGACAAGCCCUGGAAACGGGGUCUAAUACCGGAUACAACCACUGACCUCAUGGUCGGGUGGUGGAAAGCUCCGGCGGUGAAGGAUGAGCCCGCGGCCUAUCAGCUUGUUGGUGAGGUAAUGGCUCACCAAGGCGACGACGGGUAGCCGGCCUGAGAGGGCGACCGGCCACACUGGGACUGAGACACGGCCCAGACUCCUACGGGAGGCAGCAGUGGGGAAUAUUGCACAAUGGGCGAAAGCCUGAUGCAGCGACGCCGCGUGAGGGAUGACGGCCUUCGGGUUGUAAACCUCUUUCAGCAGGGAAGAAGCGAAAGUGACGGUACCUGCAGAAGAAGCGCCGGCUAACUACGUGCCAGCAGCCGCGGUAAUACGUAGGGCGCANGCGUUGUCCGGAAUUAUUGGGCGUAAAGAGCUCGUAGGCGGCUUGUCACGUCNGGUGUGAAAGCCCGGGGCUUAACCCCGGGUCUGCAUUCGAUACGGGCUAGCUAGAGUGUGGNANGGGAGAUCGGAAUUCCU
rnacentral:rRNA from 1 species